AUUGAACGCUGGCGGCCGGCCUAAUACAUGCAAGUCGAACGAGUAGCGGACGGGCGAGUAAUUUCUGGGAACCUGCGUGAUGGACGGGGAUAACGACUGGAAACGGUAGCUAAUAGCGCAUACCACCGGUUGUGGCCAGAUGGGAGUAGCGAGUAGGUGGGGUAAAGGCUCACCUAGGCGACGAUCCCUAGCUGGGCUGAGAGGAUGAGCAGCCACACUGGGACUGAGACACGGCCCAGACUCCUACGGGAGGCAGCAGUGGGGAAUAUUGGACAAGGGACGAAAGCCUGAAGGAGCCAUGCCGCGUGUAUGAAGAAGGCUUUCGGGUUGUAAAGUACUUUUAUCAAAGAAGCGUUACUCACACAAAAAGCACCGGCUAACUCCGUGCCAGCAGCCGCGGUAAUAC
rnacentral:rRNA from 1 species